rfam:Aspergillus niger DNA, contig: scaffold669_001, strain: An76, whole genome shotgun sequence.
CCCGGGCUAGCUCAAUUGGCAGAGCGCACGUCUAAUUAACCAAUUAUCGUGAGGUCGCAAGUUCGAGUCUUGCGCUUGGGC